rnacentral:pre_miRNA from 1 species
GUUUCCCUGACCACUUCAUUGCAUGAGGGCUGAAUUUAGUCCUAAUACUGAAGUGUUUGGGGGAACUC